AAGAGUUUCUUCGUUCUCUCAAACAAAACGGGGUGGUGGAGUCAAUCUUGACCCUAUCGGUUUCUUGUUUUUCCUUAAGAACAAGUGGCGUGCAUGUAC
rfam:Synechococcus phage S-CAM22 isolate 1209TA19, complete genome.